AUGGGGUGCACCAGGCGCGAAACCUCCGCAAUGCGCGAAAGCGCGACGGGGGGACCCCGAGUGCCCUGCCUCUGGCAGGGCUUUUCCGGAGUGUAAACAGCUCCGGGAAUAAGGGCUGGGCAAGGCCGGUGGCAGCCGCCGCGGUAAUACCGGCGGCCCGAGUGGUGGCCGCUAUUAUUGGGCCUAAAGCGUCCGUAGCCGGGCCCGUAAGUCCCUGGCGAAAUCCCACGGNUCANCCGUGGGGCUUGCUGGGGAUACUGCGGGCCUUGGGACCGGGAGAGGCCGGGGGUACCCCUGGGGUAGGGGUGAAAUCCUAUAAUCCCAGGGGGACCGCCAGUGGCGAAGGCGCCCGGCUGGAACGGGUCCGACGGUGAGGGACGAAGGCCAGGAGAGCGAACCGGAUUAGAUACCCGGGUAGUCCCGGCUGUAAACGAUGCGGACUAGGUGUUGGGGCGGCCACGNNNNGCCCCAGUGCCGUAGGGAAGCCGUUAAGUCCGCCGCCUGGGGAGUACGGCCGCAAGGCUGAAACUUAAAGGAANNNNGGGGGAGCAC
rnacentral:rRNA from 1 species